UGCCAGCCGCCGCGGUAACACGGGGGGCGCAAGCGUUAUUCGGAAUUAUUGGGCGUAAAGGGCGCGUAGGCGGUCCUGUCGGUCAGAUGUGAAAGCCCAGGGCUCAACCCUGGACGUGCAUUUGAAACAGCAAGACUUGAAUACUGGAGAGGAAAGCGGAAUUCCUGGUGUAGAGGUGAAAUUCGUAGAUAUCAGGAGGAACACCGAUGGCGAAGGCAGCUUUCUGGCUCGUAACUGACGCUGAGGCACGAAAGCGUGGGGAGCAAACAGGAUUAGAUA
rnacentral:rRNA from 1 species